AUGGAUUUUUUGCGCAUGCGCACGAGUAACUUCCGUGAAAAUGGACAUCAACAGUAAAAAAAUGUGCUGGUUACCGGAAGUUCACAAGAACCAGUUAAGCGAAGGUAACACCCUACAACAUGAACAUGAACUGAUCACUGAGACUGCAUUGCGUAUGAAAGACAGUUUUAUUUACUAGCCCGACAGGCUAAUGCAGUAUAGAUUUAUGAUAGCCCAACCUCUAAAAUUGGUAGCCCUGGGCGUUGGGCGAUGGUAAUUGCACACCCCUGCCCGGGGCAGGGCGGGUCACAAUGGGAGAUCAAAGUUUUACAUGGGAAUACAUUGGAAAAAUCUUCUCCAGAACCACUGGGCCAAGAAAGAUGAAACUGAUGUAGAAACAUCUUCAGACAUCCAAACAGCUAGCUCAGAUGUGGAAGUGGAAUCGGACCCUUUUAGUCGGGAAUUCAACGGGAAAUUCAUUUGACAGUGAUGAUGAUGAUGAGAUUAAUUCAGCUUGUUGUGAUCCUCCUGGACAUCCAAGUGUUUUCGACAUUGAUGAAGAUUUUGUCACUCUCUCUCUUGGACCAAACCAAGAAAUGAUGGUUUUAAGAAGAUUAUAGGAUAUGUCAUAGAAUACGAAGACCCCACCACUGGAGGCAGGCUAAUGACUACCCAGUAGAUGAGUGUGUUUAUGAGGUGUAGGGAUUAAAAAAGGACAAGGAAUACAACUUCCACAUACGGGCCAAGAAUCUUGAAGGUUUUAGUGAGUCUAGUGAUGUGAUUGGUCCCAUAACUCCCAAGCCCAAAUACACAAAGGUUUUGCCACCUGGUGUACCAGAGGCUGUCAACAAUUCUAUAAUGGUGGCUGUAAAAUUAC